ensembl:lncRNA
ACCAAGUGUCCAUGCUGUUGGUGAGCUGAGGGCUUUCUCUUAUGGAUGUGGGAAUAGUGAUGCUUGGAUGGGGUGCCACCGAGAUGUCAGUGUCUCUUCCCAACAGGGCGGGGAGAGGAGGGAACAAAAUCAACAUAACAUCUGACUUGGACAACACACUGAAUGACUGGGCUGCUGUGGAUGGGGAAUGCGACAGUGGACUUUUGAGUAAUUCUCCCAAAAAUGUGCAAAGCUGCAAAAUUUCGGAACUUAUUUGGGAAUCCUCGGCCAUCAAUAACACAGGCAAUAGUGAAAUAACAGCAGGACGUUUUACUUUUAAAUGCUUCUCAUAAAAAUGAGGGGAGCAGAUUGUUUAUAUUAACCUUUCUGGGAAAUGCAAUCAAAUUGUCCUUGAAAAAUGUUAAAGAAGAAAAACACAAGCAUGACUUUCAAUAGCCCUUAACAAUCUGUGAACCGGCCCGUUGCUAACUGUCACACACAAUGUACAUUUUGUUUAGUGAUUUCUGUUACACUGCCACUCUUUAUGAAAAUGUUUAAAAGAAUAAUUCAAGCUGCAUGAUCCCAGGUGCAUAAACAUGCUCUCCUCAAACCAGCAGAGAAACUGCCGAGUCUAGCGGGAUCGUCAGACCCGCGGGUCAAUUCAGGGACUAAGAAAAUCAUUUCCUAUUUCCCUUCAUGGAUUUGGUGCAUGCUGGGAUCAGCCAGUCUAGAAAAAUAGAAAGAAGCUGUGUCUUCUGCAGCAAAAACAGAGCUGGGAAAUGAAAGAUGCCUCGAAGCCUGGCCAAUUCUGCCGAAGAAGGAUGGGGAAAAUGCUCAGUCCCUCCCAACCGAGGCUCACAGCGGUCGUUUCUACCACACUGUCUGUUCUGCAGAGCCAUGUCCUGCCUUGCUGACAAGGGCAGGAGAGGGACUCUGGCCCUGCUCUGGGUGGAGGUGGUUAAAAGCUCACGCUGAGCCAGGCUGGAAAGCUCCAUCUGAAGUCCUUGUGCUCUUGGCUCCCUGCUUCGCUUUUUUCAUGGCUCUUAAAUUGCUAUUCAGAAGCCUUCAAAGGCACCCAACCUUUCCACUGACAGAGCAAAUAGGCUUAGGUAGAAUUUCAAGUCUUAGAGUGCUGCUCAGUGCCCUCAUAGGAAUGUAUGUUUUUUCCAUUGACUGAAGCCUGGGGCUUCCCUUCUUAAGUGGGAGAGGUGAGUGGCUGAACAAGUCCCACUUGGCCACUUUCGAUACUGUUUGGGUGAGGUUAUGGACAAUCCCGCAGCACAUAAAACAGGCCAAAAUGCAAUUCCUGAUCUCUGCCAUCCCACAUUGUACAAUCCCUAAAAUUCUUGAUCUUUUCCUCAUUCUUCCUCUGUGUUUUUUUUUUUUUUUUCAUGGCCAGUCUUCUUGCUCCUUUCCUUGCAGAGGCUUGGAUAUGCAAGGAAGUGAACAGUAGGAAAGAGUGGAAAAUGCACAACUUGCAGCGAUCCCUCAGUGAGGGACAGAAGGGAAAUCUGUGGCAAAUCACAGUUUCAUUUUUCCUUUUAACGCCCUGCAAAAUGAGAUAUGAAAGGCAGAAAAAAAGAAAUGUCAAAACUAAGCAGAAUUCUGUAUGUAUAUUAUAUCAAACACAGUAGCAAAGUCAGCAAGAGAGAAAAUACACUAGAAAAAGAGCAACUCAUGAACCUAAGUAAAAUGCUUCAAUUUCA